rnacentral:SRP_RNA from 2 species
GCUGGGUGAGGUGGCUCACACCUGUAAUCCCAGCAUUUGGGAGGCAGAGGCGGGUGGAUCACCUGAUGUCAGGAGUUCGAGACCAGCCUGACCAACAUGGUGAAACCCCGUCUCUA